AAAAAGAAAACUGAAGCUCAGAUAGUUAAAUAAUCCAGUCACCAUCUCCUGCUCUGGCUUGCCUUCUCCAAGACGGCCAUCCAGACCUUAUCUUCACCCUAACUUCUCUCCAGGAGCCACACUUUGUUCUGAGACUGCUCGUGUGCUAGUACUAAGCAGGACGAAGUAAUAUACUAAGCAUAUCUAAAGCUCUGAUACAGUCUCAUCCAAGAUACUUUACACAUGGAAGACCUCUCUGGUGGCAGUGUACAGCAGAGCCUGGAGGUGAGAGGCAACACUGGAGAUAGAAAAACUGGUAGACGAGUAGUUCAAGCAACCACGAUAAGAGCCUGAAACAUUAACAGAAGUGGAAAUGAAGCAAAGUAGGAGGUUGAAAUUUACAAUUACGAUGCAGAGCAAUAGUGGAUAAAAUUGCUGGUGUCUGGUAAGAAUAAAAACAAUGACAACAAAGCCUACCAGUGGUCACUGUAAUCUUCAUCACCACUUGAGAGUAAAGAAAAAAAUCGAACUUCAUGUAAGAAUGUUCUUGAUGAAGCAAUAAAUAUUAUCAAUCUUAUUGACUUUUU